CUUCAGGUCAUUUCCAGAAAUAGUUGCUCUGCAAGUAGUUGUAACUUUCAUGUGCCCAUAGGAGGAGAUGAGUUCAGGGUCUUCCUACUCCACCAUCUUGGCC